GUUGGAGGAGGAGACCACAAGCUAAUUGUAAGCAUCAACUAUUUGUUAGCUAUCAAUCUUGUCCUUUGAGCAUAUAUACUUUAUUUCUUAAACCAUUAUGCAUGAGCUUUUUAGGAUGAUUUGGAUGAGUGGAUCAGAGGACAACAUGAGCAGCUCAAGUCUCUCAACACGCGGAUGGAUGAUGUUGUGGAGAGGGCCAUCGAGAGGGGGUUUGCAUUGCCAAAGUUGAAGGUGGCCAUCGCCUUGACCUGCCUGGACCUCCUGACCUUUCACAACGCUCAAACAGGAAACACAUGUUGGAGGAGGAGACCACAAGCUAAUUGAUGAUUUGGAUGAGUGGAUCAGAGGACGACAUGAGCAGGACCAUAGCGGACCAUUGCAAUGCGGCAAAUCAAAUUUCAAUACUCAACACUCUUCUAUGUGGAUUAGAAGACCACAGGUGGAGUGUGCUUGGACGGCAGCUUGGCCGCCAGCUACACGCCCUUCUAGGCGGCCAGGCAGAGAUUCUUUGCCUCGGCAACCGCCUUGGCCUAGAGCCAUGCCAGGUCGUCGUCGCCGAGGAUGGACGCCAGCAACAACAUCGAUCUCUGAUACCGACGAAGUUGGUUGUGGGGCGGGACCAUGGCGGGGUGGCGCGAGGCCAUGGUGGGGAGAGGACAUGGGCACGAGGCUGUGGAGGCUGACGGGAGAGGAGGUCGGCAGAGCAACGCCAUGGUGGGGACAAGCGGCUUGUGUGAUCGGCUGCUGUGUAGUGAGGGGGCUACCUGUACGGUGAGAAGCGACGAAGGGCAUGACGGAUGGCACCAGCGGAAAGGUGAGCGCCAGUGGAGAUAAGCGAGAAAAGGAGUAGCGCGAGGCAGUAGGCAGCCUUGAAGAGGAUGAGAGGGCCCGCUGCUGGGGGUGGUCCUAGGGAUUUUUGAAUCAACGAGAGCAGUGUCGGCCCAGUGUGUGGCUGCUCCAGUGCUACCGCAUGCCCCAGUACCGCCCAAACGUGGUUGCAGGUGGACGUGGGCACCGUGGCCGCCACCAAGGAUGUAGGGGUCCCGCCACAAUCGGCGAGGACGCGGUAGGCGUGUCGAAAUUGUCAAAGACACAGGAGCCGUACUGCGGCCUUGGUGUUUUUCCUAAUUUCUUUAGGCCUAAAUACUGGAUGAGAUUCUCAUUGCUGGCAUUCUUCAUGAACCUACCAAGGAGAACAUUUCAAUACUAAUUGCAGCACAUGUUUUCUCACCACCGGCUAGCAAGAAGAGAGUAUGAUUUUCUAAUAUUCAGUGUUGUAAGCUUGAUUCACGAGGAGCUUCUCAAUGUUGUACAUGUUGUUUGUGAGUAACAGAAAUAAAUCAUUUCCUGGAAUUAUACGCUAUAUUUUCUAUGGGAAUUCGUUGACACAGUUCCUUACAACACUGAGA